UGCAGUCGAGGGGCAGCAUAGUUCGCUUGCGAACUGAUGGCGACCGGCGCACGGGUGCGUAACGCGUAUGCAACUUACCCUGAACUGGGGGAUAGCCAGUGGAAACACUGAUUAAUACCCCAUAGUACUACAGAUUCGCAUGAUGAAGUAGUUAAAGAAUUUCGGUUCAGGAUAGGCAUGCGUAAGAUUAGCUUGUUGGUGAGGUAACGGCUCACCAAGGCAACGAUCUUUAGGGGUUCUGAGAGGAAGAUCCCCCACACUGGUACUGAGAUACGGACCAGACUCCUACGGGAGGCAGCAGUAGGGAAUAUUGGUCAAUGGAGGAAACUCUGAACCAGCCAUGCCGCGUGCAGGAAGAAGGCCUUCUGGGUUGUAAACUGCUUUUAUAUAGGAAGAAAACGCCUUGCGAGGUAAUAUGACUGUACUAUAUGAAUAAGCACCGGCUAACUCCGUGCCAGCAGCCGCGGUAAUACGGAGGGUGCAAGCGUUGUCCGGAAUUAUUGGGUUUAAAGGGUGCGUAGGCGGUCUUUUAAGUCCGAGUUGGAAUCCCACAGCUUAACUGUGGAACUGGCUCGGAAACUGGAAGACUUGAAUACACUAGAGGUAUGCGGAAUUUAUGAUGUAGCGGUGAAAUGCAUAGAUAUCAUAAAGAACACCGAUAGCGAAGGCAGCAUACUGGGGUGUUAUUGACGCUGAGGCACGAAAGCGUGGGGAGCGAACAGGAUUAGAUACCCUGGUAGUCCACGCCGUA
rnacentral:rRNA from 1 species